rnacentral:tRNA from 1 species
GCGCCCAUAGCUCAAUUGGAUAGAGCGCUUGGCUACGGACCAAGAGGUUGCGGGUUCAACUCCUACUGGGCGCGCCA